rfam:Dipodomys ordii contig_22113, whole genome shotgun sequence.
UGGCUCAGUGGUAGAGUGCUUGCCUUGCAUGCAUGAGGCCCUGGGUUCGAUUCCUCAG